AAAGCAUCAGUUUUGGCAUUAAGGUGUUUGUUAUUAGGAACUAGGAUGUUUCUUUCACUAAAACUAAUUUCAUAUUUGUCUUUCAAAAUAAUACAUUCAUCCUUAUUCAUUACAAGUUCUCUCUCUAACUAUUCAAUCACAAUCUUACGGUCUUCACAAUGUAAUAUAAGACGAGUCAAUUCACUAUCCAACUUCUCACUAACUUCUAUGGAAGACUCAUAGGCUCUAUGAAUAACUGUCAUAUAUGAUUGUUUUAAGCAAGAUAAGGUUCACAAAUAGAUAAAUCAAAACAAUUGUCAGUGAUCAUGGAUUUUACUUGUAGGAUGGUGCUUCUACCUGGAGGAUCAUUUGUUUCCAUAUGUAACAAAAGUUAGGCUCAACAUCGUCAUCCUUUACUUCAGAUCUAGAAGACCAGUAUCCUUCAUCACAUUAAAUUCAUUGUAUACCCAUAAGACACACGUUUCUUGACACCAUGGUAACAAAAUCCUUUUCACUUUCACCUAGUUCUUGUGCUCUAUGAGCAUACUAGAUAGAGUCUUUUACCUUCGGUUUCUAAGAAAUAUAAGCCAAACAGUCCUUUGAAAAGUGCUUUCUAAGACCACAUUUGUGACAGCUAACCUUGGGUUUGACUGGUUUCGGAACAUCCUGAGGUUCCGAGGAAUGAUUUGGAAUGUUGGGUUGGUAAGCUAGUGGAUUUUGUGCUGGUUUAGGAAAGGGUUGAGGAUUGAUUUGAUGAGGAUCUCGACAUCGGUUUGGAAAGGUUUAUGAUUGGGAUUCCAGGGACAUUUAUACUUCAUAGAAAAAAGUGAAAAGUCUUGUUGAAAGCGAUGUUCAGAAUCAGCUGAGUCGAGAUCAAGAUUAAUUUUCAUCAAUGAAUGGCUUAGAACAGGUGAGAUAGGUGGAGUAGGAAGUGUUGGUUGAACAUGUGAAAUGGGUGGGAUGGUUCCAAAAGGAUCUAAAACAUAUGGAUUUGGAAUUAGUGGGUUGACAGAGCUAACUAAGGCAAUAGGACCUCCUGACAAUCCUCUUAGCGUUUGAGAAACGUUAGAUUCAUGGCCCUAUAGUUGGUUAAAUAACCGAUAGAGCUUCAGUUUCUUCAGAGAUCCGUUGCUCUAAAGAAAUUAAUUAACAUGACCCCAUCUUUUUUUAGACCAUUGAUGAAAUUCAGAUUUUACUCGAGUGGAUUUGGACUAUUCCAUGUGCAGUCAUGUUGUUCACGAUGAUCCUAUACCGAUUUGAUGCAGAGGAUACAUAUUCACCCAUAGUUGUAGUGAAGGUGUCGAAGUCAUUAACAACAGAUGUCGAACCCCUAUCCUUCAUCUUCUCAGAACCUUCGAACAAGUCUUGAACUGUAUCCUAAAUCACUUUGGCAGAUUUGCCGAAUUUCAUGUGCUCAAAGAGAGAAUGAGGAACACCAAACACUAUUUCAGAGAAUGCAAUCUGAUCUGCAUGGAGCUUCUCAAUGUCGGAUGCGGUUAGAGGUAUUGGACGUUGUCCAUAUUGACCAGAGAGUGCAACAACAACAUCUAUAACCAAUUGUCUAACAGGAACAUGAGGACCUUCUUUCACAAAUCUCCAUAUCACUUAACCUUUUUCCUUACCAAGUAAAAAUCUCUCCAUUCUAAAUUCCCAGUCAUCAUACUCUUCAACAAACAACAAUGGGGGUACGCGUUAAGCAACCCACGCUAUUUGCUAUUUACAUUGAAUACAUAUGUUGAGUUUUAUUAGAAGCAGCCAUUGAAGUUAAAGUAUUAGAGCUGAAGUGGUAUAUAGAAGAAAUUUUAUCCUGAACACAUAAAUGACUUAGAUACCAAGGUUACUUUUGAUGAGGCAUCUACAUCCAAAAAUGUGUAAGAAUGAUAUACUCAAUUUUUGACCAUUCAUGGCUUCGUACGGUAUCAUGUUAAGACGGUGAUUAAUGAUGCUUUGAUUUUGAGUGAAGCAAGUACUAGAGACGAUUUCAGCCCAAAAGAUAGAGAUUAAGGAUUACGAAUUUCAACAUUGAUCGAGCGACUUCAACGAGAGUUCAGUUUCUUCUUUCAACCACACCAUUAUGUUGAGGAGUGUAGGGAGCAUAGAAAUUAUGGUUGAUGUCUUUACCGAAGAGAAAUUUCUCAACGGUUCCAUUAGUGAAUUCAGAGCCUUUGUCACUUCAGAUUCUUCGAACAGGGAGUUUGACAAGAACUUCAAUUCCUUUAAUGAAAUUAAUGAUUUCGGUGGCUAUUUUGGAUUUUUCCCCAUAGAAGAAGACCCAAGUGAACCGUGUGUAGUCAUCAAAAAUCACAAGAAUAUACUUUUUGUAAUGCAAACUUUCUACAGUGGACGGUCCACAAAGAUCGAUACGAAGAAGUUCUAAUGGUUCUGAAAUUAACAUUUCAAUUAUAAUAGGAUGACCUUUCUUGGAUCGCUUCCCACAUUCACACACAACAUAGAGAUGAUCAUUUUCGAAUUUAAGGAGUGGUAGACCUCAGACCAUUUCACCAGAUGCAAGAUCAUUCAUGUAUCAGAAGUUGAGAUGAACGAGCCUCUGAUGCUAUAACCAACUUAUGUCAGGAACGAGCUUUGAAAGAAGAAAAUGUUGAGUUUUUCAGAUGAUCAUGUUGAUGCCUAAGGGUACAUAUUUUUUUAUGCAAUUUGAUUUUAUAAGACAUUCUUUCUGAUCUUUUGUCAUAAUGUUCGUGUGCUUUUUGCAGAAUUCAACUAUAUGGUUUGCAUUAGUGAGUUAAGGCACAUUGAUCAGAUUAUCCUUGAGAUCAGCUACAUACGCCAGAUUAGAGACAGAGAAAUUUCCGUUAGUCAAGACGCCAUAACCUCGAAUUUUUUAUUUUCAAUUGCUUCCAUAUGUCACGUAACCAGCAUUAGGAGCGAGCUUCAGAUCACGCAAAAAAACAUUCUAUGGAAGACUCAUAGGCUCUAUGAAUAACUGUCAUAUAUGAUUGUUUUAAGCAAGAUAAGGUUCACAAAUAGAUAAAUCAAAACAAUUGUCAGUGAUCAUGGAUUUUACUUGCAGGAUGGUGCUUCUACCUGGAGGAUCAUUUGUUUCCAUAUGUAACAAAAGUU
rnacentral:lncRNA from 1 species